UACGGAGGGUGCAAGCGUUAUCCGGAUUCACUGGGUUUAAAGGGUGCGUAGGCGGGCAGGAAAGUCCGUGGUGAAAUCUCUGAGCUUAACUCAGAAACUGCCAUGGAUACUAUUUGUCUUGAAUAUUGUGGAGGUGAGCGGAAUAUGUCAUGUAGCGGUGAAAUGCUUAGAUAUGACAUAGAACACCAAUUGCGAAGGCAGCUCACUACACAAUUAUUGACGCUGAGGCACGAAAGCGUGGGGAUCAAACAG
rnacentral:rRNA from 1 species